rnacentral:rRNA from 1 species
CAGCAGCCGCGGUAAUACGAAGGGGGCUAGCGUUGCUCGGAAUUACUGGGCGUAAAGCGUGCGUAGGUGGUGGUUUAAGUCCGUUGUGAAAGCCCUGGGCUCAACCUGGGAAUUGCAGUGGAUACUGGAUCACUAGAGUGUGGUAGAGGAUAGUGGAAUUUCCGGUGUAGCAGUGAAAUGCGUAGAGAUCGGAAGGAACAUCUGUGGCGAAGGCGACUAUCUGGGCCAACACUGACACUGAGGCACGAAAGCGUGGGGAGCAAAUGGGAUUAGAUACCCCUGUAGUCCCUGUCUCUUAUAC